GACGAACGCUGGCGGCAUGCCUAAUACAUGCAAGUAGAACGCAGUUGCGAACGGGUGAGUAACGCGUAGGUAACUGCCUCAUAGCGGGGGAUAACUAUUGGAAACGAUAGCUAAUACCGCAUACUGUGAGAUGGACCUGCGUUGUAUUAGCUAGUUGGGGAGGUAAAGGCUCACCAAGGCGAAGAUACAUAGCCGACCUGGGAGGGUGAUCGGCCACCAUGGGAUUGGAACGCGGCCCAGACUCCUACGGGAUGCAGAGGUAGGGAAUCGUCGGCAAUGGAAGUGAGUCUGACCGUGCAACGCCGCGUGAGUGAAGAAGGUUUUCGGAUCGUAAAGCUCUGUUGUUAGAGAAGCGGUAACGAACCAGAAAGGGACGGCUAACUACGUGCCAGCAGCCGCGGUAAUAC
rnacentral:rRNA from 1 species